UGAAGCUGCGACUCAUCUUGGGUGUUUUUGG
rnacentral:piRNA from 1 species